AAGUCGUAACAAGGUAACCGUAGGUGAACCUGCGGUUGGAUCAUUAAAAAACAGGAACCACCGUGUUCCCAACACCGUGUGCACCAUUGUCUGUCUCUGGUGGAACCAGAGGGCUCUUGCCCGAACUCGUUCAGGCGCUUUCCCUCCUCCACCAAAGGUGCGCCUCCGUCAGGGGGUGCUACCGACAAGAACCUUCUGAUUGUUUAUUUUUGUCUGAUGCGUUUUCGCCACCUUCACAGGUGAACGAAUUCAAAAACAACUUUUGACAACGGAUCUCUUGGCUCUC
rnacentral:misc_RNA from 1 species